ACCGCUGUAACGUCCGUAAGAGUACUCUAACCUCACUCGAACUUCCAUAACGUCCGUAAUAUCGCCGCAACUACCUAACGUCCGUAAAAGUGCCGUAACAUCACUCGAACAUCCAUAACGUCUGUCUUACGUCCGUAAGAGUGCCGUAACCUCACUCGAACAUCCGAAACGUCUGUCGAACAUCCGUAACGUCCGUAACAUCGCCGUAACGUCUGUCACAGCUCCGUGACAUCACAGAUGAUCGAAAUAACGCCGUAACGUCUGUCACACGUCCGUGACGACCGUAACAACGCCGUAAUGUCCGUCUGAAGUCCCUGACGUCCAUAACAACACCUUAACGUCUGUCACAGGUCCGUGACGUCACAGAUGAUGGAAACAACGCCGUAACGUCCGUAACAACGCCGUAACGUCUGUCACAGGUCCGUGACGUCACAGAUGAUCGAAACAACGCCGUAACGUCUGUCACAGGUCCGCGAUGUCACAUAUGAUGGAAACAACGCCGUAAAGUCUGUCACAGGUCCGUGACGUCACAGAUGAUCGAAACAAGGCCGUAACUUCUGUCACAGGACCGUGACGUCAUAGAUGAUCGAAACAACGCUGUAACGUCUCUCAGAGAUCUGUGACGUCACAGAUGAUAGAAAAACAACGCCGUAACUCCUGUCACAGGUCCGUGACGUCACAGAUGAUCGAAACAAGGCCGUAACUUCUGUAACAGGUCCGUGACGUCACAGAUGAUAGAAAAACAACGCCGUAACGUCUCUAAUAGAUCUGUGACGUCACAGAUGAUAUAAACAACGCCGUAACUUCUGUCACAGGUCCGUGACGUCACAGAUGAUAGAAACAACGCCGUAAUUUCUGUCACAGGUCCGUGACGUCACAGAUGAUAGAAAAACAACGCCGUAACGUCUCUAAUAGAUCGGUGACGUCACAGAUGAUAGAAACAACGCCGUAACUUCUGUCACAGGUCCGUGACGUCACAGAUGAUAGAAAAACAACGCCGUAACGUCUCUAAUAGAUCGGUGACGUCAGAGAUGAUAGAAACAACGCCGUAACUUCUGUCACAGGUCCGUGACGUCACAGAUGAUAGAAAAACAACUCCGUAACGUCUCUAAUAGAUCGGUGACGUCACAGAUGAUAGAAACAACGCCGUAACUUCUGUCACAGGUCCGUGACGUCACAGAUGAUAGAAAAACAACGCCGUAACGUCUCUAAUAGAUCGGUGACGUCACAGAUGAUAGAAAAAACGCCGUAAUUUCUGUCACAGGUCCGUGACGUCACAGAUGAUAGAAACAACGCCGUAACUUCUGUCACAGGUCCGUGACGUCACAGAUGAUAGAAAAACAACGCCGUAACGUCUCUAAUAGAUCGGUGACGUCACAGAUGAUAGAAACAACGCCGUAACUUCUGUCACAGGUCCGUGACGUCACAGAUGAUAGAAAAACAACUCCGUAACGUCUCUAAUAGAUCGGUGACGUCACAGAUGAUAGAAACAACGCCGUAACUUCUGUCACAGGUCCGUGACGUCACAGAUGAUAGAAAAACAACGCCGUAACGUCUCUAAUAGAUCGGUGACGUCACAGAUGAUAGAAACAACGCCGUAACUUCUGUCACAGGUCCGUGACGUCACAGAUGAUAGAAAAACAACGCCGUAACGUCUCUAAUAGAUCGGUGACGUCACAGAUGAUAGAAAAAACGCCGUAACUUCU